rnacentral:rRNA from 1 species
ACGAACGCUGGCGGCGUGCUUAACACAUGCAAGUCGAACGGAAAGGCCCUGCUUUUGUGGGGUGCUCGAGUGGCGAACGGGUGAGUAACACGUGAGUAACCUGCCCUUGACUUUGGGAUAACUUCAGGAAACUGGGGCUAAUACCGGAUAGGAGCUCCUGCUGCAUGGUGGGGGUUGGAAAGUUUCGGCGGUUGGGGAUGGACUCGCGGCUUAUCAGCUUGUUGGUGGGGUAGUGGCUUACCAAGGCUUUGACGGGUAGCCGGCCCGAGAGGAUGACCGGCCACAUUGGGACUGAGAUACGGCCCAGACUCCUACGGGAGGCAGCGGUGGGGAAUAUUGCACAAUGGGCGGAAGCCUGAUGCAGCAACGCCGCGUGCGGGAUGACGGCCUUCGGGUUGUAAACCGCUUUCGCCUGUGACGAAGCGUGAGUGACGGUAAUGGGUAAAGAAGCACCGGCUAACUACGUG